GUGAGGAAGGGGGUGACCGAGUGAGGAAGGGGGUUACACAGUGACAGAGUGAGGGAGGGGGUGACUAGUGACAAAGUGAAAGAGGUGGUGACUGUCACUAGUCACCCCAUCCUUCCCUCUGUCACUAAUCACCACCUCCCUCACUCUGUCACUAGUCACCCCUUCCCUCCCUCACUCUGUCACUAGUCACCCCCUCCCUCUCUCUGUCACUAGUCAGCCCCACCCUCUCUCUGUCACUAGUCACACCCUCUCUCACUCUGUCACUAAUCACACCCUCCCUCAC